rnacentral:rRNA from 1 species
UUUAGCAGGGAAGAAGCGUGAGUGACGGUACCUGCAGAAAAAGCGCCGGCUAACUACGUGCCAGCAGCCGCGGUAAUACGUAGGGCGCAAGCGUUAUCCGGAAUUAUUGGGCGUAAAGAGCUCGUAGGCGGUUUGUCGCGUCUGCUGUGAAAUCUGGGGGCUCAACCCCCAGCCUGCAGUGGGUACGGGCAGACUAGAGUGCGGUAGGGGAGAUUGGAAUUCCUGGUGUAGCGGUGGAAUGCGCAGAUAUCAGGAGGAACACCGAUGGCGAAGGCAGAUCUCUGGGCCGUAACUGACGCUGAGGAGCGAAAGGGUGGGGAGCAAACAGGCUUAGAUACCCUGGUAGUCCACCCCGUAAACGUUGGGAACUAGUUGUGGGGUCCAUUCCACGGAUUCCGUGACGCAGCUAACGCAUUAAGUUCCCCGCCUGGGGAGUACGGCCGCAAGGCUAAAACUCAAAGGAAUUGACGGGGACCCGCACAAGCGGCGGAGCAUGCGGAUUAAUUCGAUGCAACGCGAAGAACCUUACCAAGGCUUGACAUACACGAGAACGGGCCAGAAAUGGUCAACUCUUUGGACACUCGUGAACAGGUGGUGCAUGGUUGUCGUCAGCUCGUGUCGUGAGAUGUUGGGUUAAGUCCCGCAACGAGCGCAACCCUCGUUCUAUGUUGCCAGCACGUAAUGGUGGGAACUCAUGGGAUACUGCCGGGGUCAACUCGGAGGAAGGUGGGGAUGACGUCAAAUCAUCAUGCCCCUUAUGUCUUGGGCUUCACGCAUGCUACAAUGGCCGGUACAAUGGGCUGCGAUACCGCGAGGUGGAGCGAAUCCCAAAAAGCCGGUCCCAGUUCGGAUUGAGGUCUGCAACUCGACCUCAUGAAGUCGGAGUCGCUAGUAAUCGCAGAUCAGCAACGCUGCGGUGAAUACGUUCCCGGGUCUUGCACACACCGCCCG